GGUUAAGCGACUAAGCGUACACGGUGGAUGCCCUGGCAGUCAGAGGCGAUGAAGGACGUGCUAAUCUGCGAUAAGCGUCGGUAAGGUGAUAUGAACCGUUAUAACCGGCGAUUUCCGAAUGGGGAAACCCAGUGUGAUUCGUCACACUAUCAUUAACUGAAUCCAUAGGUUAAUGAGGCGAACCGGGGGAACUGAAACAUCUAAGUACCCCGAGGAAAAGAAAUCAACCGAGAUUCCCCCAGUAGCGGCGAGCGAACGGGGAGCAGCCCAGAGCCUGAAUCAGUGUGUGUGUUAGUGGAAGCGUCUGGAAAGGCGCGCGAUACAGGGUGACAGCCCCGUACACAAAAAUGCACAUACUGUGAGCUCGAUGAGUAGGGCGGGACACGUGGUAUCCUGUCUGAAUAUGGGGGGACCAUCCUCCAAGGCUAAAUACUCCUGACUGACCGAUAGUGAACCAGUACCGUGAGGGAAAGGCGAAAAGAACCCCGGCGAGGGGAGUGAAAAAGAACCUGAAACCGUGUACGUACAAGCAGUGGGAGCACGCUUAGGCGUGUGACUGCGUACCUUUUGUAUAAUGGGUCAGCGACUUAUAUUCUGUAGCAAGGUUAACCGAAUAGGGGAGCCGAAGGGAAACCGAGUCUUAACUGGGCGUUAAGUUGCAGGGUAUAGACCCGAAACCCGGUGAUCUAGCCAUGGGCAGGUUGAAGGUUGGGUAACACUAACUGGAGGACCGAACCGACUAAUGUUGAAAAAUUAGCGGAUGACUUGUGGCUGGGGGUGAAAGGCCAAUCAAACCGGGAGAUAGCUGGUUCUCCCCGAAAGCUAUUUAGGUAGCGCCUCGUGAAUUCAUCUCCGGGGGUAGAGCACUGUUUCGGCAAGGGGGUCAUCCCGACUUACCAACCCGAUGCAAACUGCGAAUACCGGAGAAUGUUAUCACGGGAGACACACGGCGGGUGCUAACGUCCGUCGUGAAGAGGGAAACAACCCAGACCGCCAGCUAAGGUCCCAAAGUCAUGGUUAAGUGGGAAACGAUGUGGGAAGGCCCAGACAGCCAGGAUGUUGGCUUAGAAGCAGCCAUCAUUUAAAGAAAGCGUAAUAGCUCACUGGUCGAGUCGGCCUGCGCGGAAGAUGUAACGGGGCUAAACCAUGCACCGAAGCUGCGGCAGCGACGCUUAUGCGUUGUUGGGUAGGGGAGCGUUCUGUAAGCCUGUGAAGGUGUGCUGUGAGGCAUGCUGGAGGUAUCAGAAGUGCGAAUGCUGACAUAAGUAACGAUAAAGCGGGUGAAAAGCCCGCUCGCCGGAAGACCAAGGGUUCCUGUCCAACGUUAAUCGGGGCAGGGUGAGUCGACCCCUAAGGCGAGGCCGAAAGGCGUAGUCGAUGGGAAACAGGUUAAUAUUCCUGUACUUGGUGUUACUGCGAAGGGGGGACGGAGAAGGCUAUGUUGGCCGGGCGACGGUUGUCCCGGUUUAAGCGUGUAGGCUGGUUUUCCAGGCAAAUCCGGAAAAUCAAGGCUGAGGCGUGAUGACGAGGCACUACGGUGCUGAAGCAACAAAUGCCCUGCUUCCAGGAAAAGCCUCUAAGCAUCAGGUAACAUCAAAUCGUACCCCAAACCGACACAGGUGGUCAGGUAGAGAAUACCAAGGCGCUUGAGAGAACUCGGGUGAAGGAACUAGGCAAAAUGGUGCCGUAACUUCGGGAGAAGGCACGCUGAUAUGUAGGUGAAGUCCCUCGCGGAUGGAGCUAAAAUCAGUCGAAGAUACCAGCUGGCUGCAACUGUUUAUUAAAAACACAGCACUGUGCAAACACGAAAGUGGACGUAUACGGUGUGACGCCUGCCCGGUGCCGGAAGGUUAAUUGAUGGGGUCAGCGCAAGCGAAGCUCUUGAUCGAAGCCCCGGUAAACGGCGGCCGUAACUAUAACGGUCCUAAGGUAGCGAAAUUCCUUGUCGGGUAAGUUCCGACCUGCACGAAUGGCGUAAUGAUGGCCAGGCUGUCUCCACCCGAGACUCAGUGAAAUUGAACUCGCUGUGAAGAUGCAGUGUACCCGCGGCAAGACGGAAAGACCCCGUGAACCUUUACUAUAGCUUGACACUGAACAUUGAGCCUUGAUGUGUAGGAUAGGUGGGAGGCUUUGAAGUGUGGACGCCAGUCUGCAUGGAGCCGACCUUGAAAUACCACCCUUUAAUGUUUGAUGUUCUAACGUUGACCCGUAAUCCGGGUUGCGGACAGUGUCUGGUGGGUAGUUUGACUGGGGCGGUCUCCUCCUAAAGAGUAACGGAGGAGCACGAAGGUUGGCUAAUCCUGGUCGGACAUCAGGAGGUUAGUGCAAUGGCAUAAGCCAGCUUGACUGCGAGCGUGACGGCGCGAGCAGGUGCGAAAGCAGGUCAUAGUGAUCCGGUGGUUCUGAAUGGAAGGGCCAUCGCUCAACGGAUAAAAGGUACUCCGGGGAUAACAGGCUGAUACCGCCCAAGAGUUCAUAUCGACGGCGGUGUUUGGCACCUCGAUGUCGGCUCAUCACAUCCUGGGGCUGAAGUAGGUCCCAAGGGUAUGGCUGUUCGCCAUUUAAAGUGGUACGCGAGCUGGGUUUAGAACGUCGUGAGACAGUUCGGUCCCUAUCUGCCGUGGGCGCUGGAGAACUGAGGGGGGCUGCUCCUAGUACGAGAGGACCGGAGUGGACGCAUCACUGGUGUUCGGGUUGUCAUGCCAAUGGCACUGCCCGGUAGCUAAAUGCGGAAGAGAUAAGUGCUGAAAGCAUCUAAGCACGAAACUUGCCCCGAGAUGAGUUCUCCCUGACUCCUUGAGAGUCCUGAAGGAACGUUGAAGACGACGACGUUGAUAGGCCGGGUGUGUAAGCGCAGCGAUGCGUUGAGCUAACCGGUACUAAUGAACCGUGAGGCUUAACCUU
rnacentral:rRNA from 1 species